ACGGGGGGGGUAAGCGUUGUUCGGAAUUACUGGGCGUAAAGGGCUCGUAGGCGGCCAACUAAGUCAGACGUGAAAUCCCUCAGCUUAACUGGGGAACUGCGUCUGAUACUGGAUGGCUUGGAUUCGGGAGAGGAAUGCGGAAUUCCAGGUGUAGCGGUGAAAUGCGUAGAUAUCUGGAGGAACACCGGUGGCGAAGGCGGCGUUCUGGACUGUUUCUGACACUGAAAAACGAAAGCCAGGGGAGCAAACGGGA
rnacentral:rRNA from 1 species